UGCUAUUUGACUAGAACUGGAUUACAUAGAUAUUAAGUGAUGUAUAAUUCAUCGUCAGUGACAGAUAGUUCUGUGAACGAGAAGUGGGCGUUGUAUCGAACAUGUCCCGCAAAGUUCAAGAAGGGCCGUCCGUUUGAUGAUGGUCAUAUCUCUACAAAGAUAGAUUUCAACAAUCUGUGUGUUCAUCUCCAACACAUCCUCAACUCAUCGACACUACCGUAUACUAGGGUACUCGGCAUACUCCUAAUGGACAAACGACAUUGCCUGCAGACAGUCUACAUACAUCUUUUGGCGGCUGUCGGCGAAUAAUAUCUGUCAGUGUAGACGAGGCACCAGAAUGCAUGGGGAGAUGUACUUUAUCUCAUGUAUUUGAAGGACACAAAAUUUGGACGAAAUUUUUCCCAAACCAUGCUUCUCAAAUUGACCACCAUGAUAUCUCAAUCACAAAGGAUAUAACCUAACAAACACGAAGAUGGUACCCGCUGGGGGUAGCCACUCACAUGAUAAUCAAAAAGCUAAAAAAUUCUACCAAAUGUCCAAAUUGGACAAAUUGUGAAUGCACAGUAUUAAAUAAAAAAAAAAAAAAUGAUCUCAAUAACGAAUCGAUAAAUGUUUUUCAAAUUUUUACACACAUAUCAAAUAGAUGUCUCUUUAUGAGAACUAGAAUUAUGUUAAUGUCGACAAUGACUUCUUCCUUUUCGCCUGUAGAAGUUACAAAUUUAAUGAACUUCUGCAGUAUAUAAUUGUGAUUUUGUUACAGAAAUGUUAUUUUGCUUCAUUCUAGUUUACAAGAUAAUCACUUUCAUACAGAUUUUUUGUCACAUGUAUACAACAACUAAAUCGUCACAGCCAUUA